rnacentral:lncRNA from 1 species
UUAAACAAAUUAAUAUACCAAAGUGCUCAGACGGUUCCUGUCUCAGAGCGCUUCAUAGGUGUUGGCUAACACAUCUUCUGUGUGCAGUCUCUCCGCUGGACUGCCACAGGAUUUUCUUUUUUUCCCUUCUGCCAGCAGAGUCACAUCCUCUUUUCCUUGUCUAGGCAUGCUUUGCCACAGAUAUAGUCCAACAGCCCAGUAUCUGUUUGUUUUCUUUUUCCCUCUGCUGCCACCUCCAGCCUCAGUUAAUUUGCGGGCUGGCCUGUGGGACCAGGGAAGGUAGAAUCUGUGUCGGGGCCCGUACCACUGCUCUGCCCAGGCCUCCAGCCACAUAGGUGUCCCUCGUCCCAGGGGUCGUGGUGAGUGGGAGGGGAAGGCAGAGCAGUGCUGAGGAUGAAGAGACCCUGGGCCGCUACUCUUUGACUUCUGAAGGCUCACCCCCUGUGCAUGAACCACCCUCCCACUUCCUCCACACACUGAGGGUCUCUGGGGCUGUGAGAGCUCCUGCCUGCACCUUGGGGCUGGGGGGCUCAGUUCGUCUGCAGCAGGAGAGAGACAUCUGAAUUUGUGAGAUGAAACGCCUUUGGCUCAGGGACACGCUGGCACAAGCAGUGGGAAUGGCUACACCCCUGAUGCUACUCCACCAGACUGGACACCUAACCUCCUCUUACUUUGUUAUAUCUAUCACAAAACAAUGGAAUUCCAAAUGAUUCACUAACAUAGAAACUUUUAAGACACAAAAGGUUACAAAAUUAAAUAGUCAUGGGUUUAGAAGCAACAUUGACAAAAACCAAACAAAUGCAUUAUUAAUGUGGAAUUUGACAGUCCAUGUCACAAAUGUACUCUGGGCUUAACUUUUCCUGUUUGGUUCUCAUCAGCCAAAUCGACCAAAGAAAUGUAAGGUGGUCAGGAAGUAAAGCAAUUUUCAUCCAACCAAAAAGCUAAUUUAUUAAAUUGUACAUUAUAAUUUAGUGUACAAUUGUAUGCUAUGUAAAUUAUAUAUCAAUAAAACUGUUUUUUAAGCUAAAU